rnacentral:lncRNA from 10 species
CCGACCCCGGGCCCGACCGCUGGCGAUCGCGGCGCCACGUCCUCCUCCUCCUCCUCCGCGGCCGCCCGGAGCAGUCACGGCAGCGUCUCCCGCUCCGUCUCCUGCCUUUGUUUGAAAGCAGCGCCCGCGGUGGACCUGGGGAGAGGGCGCCGCGGCUGCCCCGGCCCGGAGCCCCCGGGAAGCCUCGUCCGGAGCCGCACGGGCAGCCGGAGUGGGGACGCGGAAGGGCGGGGUCUGCGGCCUGGCGCGGCGCCCCCCUGUCCGAGCCCCGCAGUGGGCACGGGGAUGCGGGGCCCGCAGGACCCCUCCCGGCCCGGCCCCCGCCCCCCGCGGCCGCGCAUGCGCCCCGUGGCCUCGGUGCAGGUGCAGCGGGGGCUCUGCGCCUUGUAGGACCUGCAGACGCCGCAGGCUGGGGCGGAGAAGCUCAGGUGCGGGGAGGCGGUCGCAGACCCCAUCCUCGGCGCUUCUCGAACCUAGCCCCCUUCAGUUCUGCGCGACCUCCCAGCACCACCCCGAGGGCUGCCGGAGCAGAGCUUCCCCGACAUGCGCGGGCGGGACGGGGCCAGGGGUCCAGGCCUGGGGACCCGCAGUCUGCGUUGUGCGGUGGAGUUGGGGCCAGCCGGGCAGCUGAGGUCACCUGAAGGCCAGGAGGGGCUGGGCCUGCCCGUGGACGUGGGAGUGAGGCCGCAGCGCCCUGGUGGGGUGGGGAGGGGCGGCUGAACUGGUCCACAGCCCCGUCCGCCAGAGAACGGGCCCUGGAGAGGGGCAGGGGACGGGGUGGGGGCGUGGGGGGGAGGGGAAGCCAAGCUGGGAAGGCGCCCCCUCAGUGUCUGGGGCCCGCUGUCAGCUUUUCAACCUAAAGGAGAAAACAGGCAAAACGAAUAGAAAUAGUUUGUUGGGGCCAAGUUUGAGGACUGCAGCGUGGAAGGACAGACUCAGGUUGGUCUGAAUGCACGCGCUCUCAUUCGCAGCAGUUGCAAGUGCGUUUUUAAAGGAAAAAUGAAGACGCAGCUCCUAAAUUCACCAAGAAUUUGCAUUAAAAUGGCAUAAGCUAUUGAUUGGUGUACAUUAUUUGUCACAAAUUCCAGGAACAUGAAGAUGACGCUGAGGCGGCCAGGCGGACACUAUAGGAAAGAAAAGAAAGAACAAAAUGCCUUCCAGCAGUUGCCCCGGGCGUGAGUGGGGAGGCGGGACUGAGGCCCUGUACUCAGGUGUCUCUGGGCCAGAUAAUCUUUGAGAAUCCCACAUAGCUCCGGCUAUUUUUCUUUUCUCAUUUCUCGUGUUUGAUCAAAAAUUUUCUCUUCUCAAAGCAGUGAUGAUCGACAUUCUAGAUGUAAGUUUUUCUGCUGGGAAGGCUCAUUCCCGGGCCAUCUCACCCCGCAUGGGGGGAAAGAGGACAGGUGCGGUGGGCGCUUAAGAACUUCGUGAGGCCUCAAGGCCAAGGUUGAUUGGCACGGGGUCUGUCAGGCCGUCUGCUAUGAAGGAGCCACGCAUACCGGAUGGCUUCUGAGCAUCUAGCUAGCAUCCUCGGGGUUUUUUGGUUGACUUUGGACAUCUAGAAACACAAAGCCUAAUCAAUUUAAGAAUGAAAAAUAUGGGCCGGGCGUGGUGGCUCAUGCCUGUAAUCCCAGCACUUUGGGAGGCCGAGGCGUGUGGAUCACGUGAGGUCAGGAGUUUGAGACCAGUCUGGGCAACAUGGUGAAACUGCGCCUCUACUAAAAAUACAAAAAUUAGCCGGGUGUGGUGGCAGGCGCCUGUAAUCCCAGCUACUUGGGAGGCUGAAGCAGGAGAAUCACUUGAACUCGGGAGGCGGAGGUUGCAGUGAGCUGAGAUCGUGCCACUGUACUCCAGCCUGGCAACAGACUGAGAUUCUGCCUCAAAAACAAGAAAAGAAAAAGAAAAAAUGACACAAAUAAGGGCAACUAUUAACAAUUUGAAAUCUAGAACUGAAGAGUGCUUCUAUUUUUGAAGGUAACCAGAUACCUAUUUUGUCUCCUUCUGGUCCUGGCCUGAAGAACAAGAUGUUGAAGUUCUCCAGUGAUGGAAACGACCUCUCUGGCGAGGCUGCCUGGUGUGGUCCCAUCUAUUGUGGUUGGAGGAAGUCCUAUAUUUGAUGCUUUUCUCAUGAAAUCUCCAGGUUGGAGACCUUGAACUUUCAUGUCUUCAUCUCCUGAGAACUCGCCGUUAACAGAAUCCUUAAUUAAUUUAGAAUGUGCAGUGAGAAGCUCUAUAGGGUCUCGGCAAUAAUGAAGAAUAUCGCCUUUAAGGGGAGCUGGUUUGGAGGCUCCUUCAUCCAGGCACAGGGCCUUCCUGGUAUUAUUUCAAAGAGAGAAAGCUGAUGUUUUCCAAACAGGGCAGAACCCCAGUUCAGCACCACAGUGGAAACACCUUAGGCCAGGGAGUGUUAGAAGCUGGUUUCAGCAUUGCAGAUGGGUUUUCUAUUAUCCCACCUGUGCGUUCCACAGUCUGGAAGAUGGAGGAGGGCUGCAAGCACAAUGGGAAUGCCAAUCCCUCCAAUCCCAACCAGCUUUCACUAUGCAAGAUGUGCCUACCUUCCCCUUCACCUUCUGCCGUGAGUGUCAGUCUCCUGAGGCUUCCCAGUCAUGCUUCCUGUACAGCCUGCAGAACUGUGAGUCCAUCAAACCUCUUUUCUUCAUAAAUUUCCCAGUCUCGGUGGUUCUUUACAGCAGUGUGAAAACAGACUAAUACAAUUAUUACCUAUUAAUUUAACAUAACAUGAUUUUAAUAUUAAGUUACUGAAAAAGAUUUUUAAGCCAGGUACAAUGGAACCUGCAAAUCUGGUAACUUAGAAGGCUGAGGCAGGAGGAUCACUUGAGCCCAGGAGUUCAAGGCUGCAAUGAGCUAUGAUUGCGCCACUGCAUUCUAACCUAG